UAGCCUGUGACGCAGUGGUUAGCGUGUCGUUCUUAUAUUGUAUGCUCCCGUCGCAUCCAGUAUGACUCUUUCGAGCAAUGCGAAAGUCGCGAGUUCAAGUCUCGCCAGGAUCA
rfam:Cladophialophora psammophila CBS 110553 aczJe-supercont1.3, whole genome shotgun sequence.